GGACGGAAACUCAGAGGUAACUCUUCCCUCUUCAGAGAUCCUGCCUGUGAGACCGGUUUCCGCACAUGCGCAGUCGAUGCCGCAGUGCCCAGUCUACGCCUAGGUAGCGAGCGAUGGCUAGGGGCAGAUGUUGGAGACAGUCAGAGAAUGGCCCCAUCUGGUGUUUAUGUUCUGUGAAAUUAUGUUCCAAGAGGAGAACCCAAGGCCUACCUAAGAGGACCAUCUAUCGUCUAGUAACAUUACAGCCUGGAUAAUUGUACCAGGCCAGCUUCCAAAUAUCAGGGCCUGCUUUUCUCUUUCUCUAGUGUUUGGAAUUUUCUGCACCUGUGAAGUGAAGGGACUCAGUGACCUAGAAAUUUUUCCAUUUCUAAGGAUUACAGCAAUUUGUACUCCUGGAGGACGUAGUUGAUGAACAAAGUUUUGAGAUGUCUGCACACCUGUAUUAUAAGAUGAAAUCUCUGAUUUCUAUUGCUGGCACAGUCACGGGGACUACUUAUACUACUAGAGUUGGUUGCCUACAUCCAUACAGACAGCAAGUACUGAAUUUCAGUUAGAGGCAGACCUGGGACUCAACAUGGAGAAGAACCUACCACCAAGUCCACAAGCCCAGGCAUGGUUACCUUUUUGCGUGGCCGAAGCUUGUCCCGCCAUUCCUUCAGGUUCUGGUUAUGGCUCUCAUCUAGGGCCUUCAGCUUCUGGGUUUCGUGUUCUACCAGGAGGUGACACUUUUCAUUCUAGAACAAAUUUCAGGCAGAACAGGAUGAAGAAGAACCUGCCUGCUCUCUGGCACCCACCUCGAAGGAGUUCCUGCUUCCUAGUGAGACACUCGCGCUCCUUGUCACAGAUCUCCCGCCUGUUGUCAGCAGUGAUUUUCUUCAUCGCCAGCUCCAGGUCCUCCUUCUGCUUAGCCAGGAAGUCUCGGUCCUGUGUGGGAGAGAGGAGGGCAGACCUUCAGCACUGGCUUCAGCAUCUCGACCUCUACUGUUAUUACAGAAGAAUUCAUCAUGAGCAGCAAAGAAAACAUAUGUAGGGGAAAUGUGAAACUUAUAGACACAUCAACCAACUGUAUGUGUGCUUUAUGUGGACCCUGAUUCAAACAUCAAAUAGGAAAAAAAUCAUGAGGCAAUUGGAAAUGUAAAUAAUGGCUCAACUGCAAAUAUGUCAUUAAGCAAUUAUUGUUAAAUAUUUAAAUUUUAGCAAAGGAGAGGGCAGGCUCCCCACUGUGCAGGGAGCCCAACACAGGGCUCAAUCCGAGGACCCUGGGACCACAACCUGAGCCAAAGGCAGAUGCUUAACCAACAGAGCCACCCACAUGCCCCUAUUUUACUGUUAUUUUUAAAAAUUAAAAAUACCUCUGCAUGUCAUAAUGGAAUCUGCUAUCAAAUGAGUUUUAAUGGCUGAAAAUAUUUCAUGGCCCAGGUGUAUCAUAGCUUACUCACCCAAUACCUAAUAGGUUGUUUCCAGAUAGUCUCUAUUUUAGACGGUGCUGCUCUUCACACUCUGGUAGCUGUUUAUGAGCCUCUCUGAUGAUUUAUCCUCAGGAUUAGUCUCUAGAUGCCACUGCCAAAAUGGCCUCCUUAAAGAACCAAUCUGCUCUCUCCGUGUGGGGAUAGGAGCCGUCUCCCCGAUCCUCCCCAGCCCUGAAUUCUUUUUCUGAUCAUAGUAUCAAGGGACAGGUUGUAGGACAGUGUUCUCUGGAGACAACACAGUCUGGAGACAGACUGAGUUUGGGGCCAUGCCCCAUACUGCUAACUGCAGAGUCACCUCCUCUGCAAAUGGAAAAACAAAUAGCACCUACCCUGGUAAGCCAUGAAUGCUCAACCAGAUAAUAUACAAAGCAUUUUUAAGUGUACAUUCGGGAACAGCAAAAGCAAAAUGUAGAGAUUCCCAAGUGGGAGAAAAAGGAGCAUGUGGUCUGACAAGGGCCACAGAGAAGACUGGUGAGGCUGAGGUAGAGUGGACUUAGAUGAGCUGGGAGAGGCCGGCAGGGGCCAGACCCACAGGGCCUUGUAAGCACAUGAGGAGGCCUUUUGGCAAAGUGGGAGCUGCUGAAGGUUUUCAAGACACAAGGCUAUGGGAGAAGGUGACAUGAUCAGAUUUGGAAUUCAUAUUGAUCACACUGGCUGGUGGGAGAGAAAACUGCAGGAGAUCAAGAGAGGAAGCAGAGAGACUAGCUGGGAGGCUACUGUAGCAGUCCAGGCAAAAGAUGACUAUGGCUAGGGAGUCAGAGAUGCUGACCAAGUGGAAAUAUCCAAAGAUAGUUUGGAGCUUUAAAAAAACAAAAAAAGUCCACGCUUUAGAAGAUGAUAAAGGGUUAGAGGGAAAGGAGGUGCCAGGAAUGACAAGGUUUCUGGCCUAGCAGCAGGAUGGAAGACAGUGAUCCCCUCAGAAUACAGUAGAGCUGCGUCUGGGAGAUCAUGGGUUUGACAUCUGAGAUUCCAAAAGAUGCCAAGUGGGCAGGUGGAUAUACUGGGUUAUUCAAGGAGAUGUGACAUACAAACAACCCUAAGACAAGGCAGGAGUCACUAAAUGCUUUGGAGAAGGUAGAUGUAAGGGCUGGGGUGUCCAGAAGCAGGGGAGCUCACUUCCAGCUGGAGUGAGAGCAAUCAAGAAAGGCUGCAUGGGGGAGGUGCUAAUAAGGAUCAGCUGGAUUUAAGCACUCAAAAUAAGAGAUGGGUAUUCAAGGACCAAAGCAUGCGCAUAGACCGAGGGAGAACUUGAUCAUUCAUGGUCACUGUCACUCUCCAACCCCUCUACUCCCUGACUGAGGUGGGGCAAGGACUCACGAGAAGCUGUUUUUUCUGUGCGUGCUCCUCCAUCUUCUGCUUCAUGCUCUCCUUCCGCUGCUGCCUGGGGAGCUUCUCCACCUCGUUCUUCACCUGCACCAGAAACAGCAGAGAGUGGCUGGGUCAGGGAGACCAAAGACAAGGUUCAGCUUCCUAGACACUGGCCCCCAACCCCACUCUCCAUCAAGCCCCUCUGACAGGUAGCCCCCGCUGGCCUACUCCUGUCUGCAGCUGGCUCUGGUUUUGGUCCCCCCAGAGCAAAGAGAUACAGCUUUUGGCUGCUUGGUACCAUGCUCCCUUCUCAUGGCAGCACCUCCCUUUCCUUCAGGGCAGCCUUUCUCAACCUUUUUUCAUUACUGUCCCCUUACAAGUCUUUCUAGACAUUUUCUUCCUAAUCACCCACCCCUAUGAAAUAUUAACCCCACAGACAAACCAUGAAUCUGCUAAACCACUAUAAUAAGCAAAGAUAUUUUUAUCCCCUUAGGGGUGCCCUCUCCCUGAUUAAGAAUGCACACUUUAGGGGAUCCCUGGGUGGCGCAGCGGUUUGGUGCCUGCCUUUGGCCCAGGGCGCGAUCCUGGAGACCCGGGAUCGAAUUCCACGUCGGGCUCCCAGUGCAUGGAGCCUGCUUCUCCCUCUGCCUGUGUCUCU